CAAUAGCGUAUAUUAAAGUUGUUGCGGUUAAAAAGCUCGUAGUUGGAUUUCUGUUGGGAAAGGCCGGUCCGCACUUUGUGCGUGAUCAGGUUCUGUCUCGGCAUCCUCGUGGGGAACAGGCUGCGCUUGAUUGCGUGGUUUGGUAUUCACGACUUUUACUUUGUAGGAAAUUAGAGUGUUCACGGCAGGCAAACGACCUUGAAUACGUUAGCAUGGAAUAAUAAUAUAGGAUCUUGGUUCUAUUUUGUUUGGUUUCUAGAACUAAGGUAAUGAUUAAUAGGGAUAAUUGGGGGCGAUCUGUAUUAACACGUCAGAGGUGAAAUUCUUGGAUUGUGUUACGACAAACUACUGCGAAAGCAUUUGUCCAAGGAUGUUUUUCAUUGAUCAAGAACGAAAGUAAAGGGGAGUCGAGACGAUUAG
rnacentral:rRNA from 1 species